rnacentral:rRNA from 1 species
UACAGAGGUCUCAAGCGUUGUUCGGAUUCAUUGGGCGUAAAGGGUGCGUAGGCGGCGCGGUAAGUCGGGUGUGAAAUCUCGGAGCUUAACUCCGAAACUGCAUUCGAUACUGCCGUGCUUGGAGGACUGGAGAGGAGACUGGUAAUUUGACGGUGUAGCGGUGAAAUGCGUAGAUAUCGGUAGGAACACCGGGUGGCGAAGGCGACAUCCCGGACCGGUAUUGACGGCUGAGGCGGCGAAAGCCAGGGGAGCAACGGG